rnacentral:rRNA from 1 species
CUACGGGGGGCUCCAGGCGCGAAACCUCCACAAUGCACGAAAGUGUGAUGGGGGGAUCCUACGUGCUCAUGUCUGACAUGGGCUUUUGCCAAGAGUAGAUACCUUGGCGAAUAAGGGGUGGGCAAGACCGGUGCCAGCCGCCGCGGUAACACCGGCGCCCCAAGUGGCAAUCGCGAUUAUUGGGCCUAAAGCGUCCGUAGCCGGACAGUUAAAUCCUCUGUGAAAUCGUCGCGCUCAACGUGACGGCGCGCAGGGGAGACUGGCUGUCUCGAGACCGGGAGGAGUCAGAGGUAUGCCGUGGGGACUGGUAAAAUGGUAUAAUCCACGGUAGACCACCAAUGGCGAAGGCAUCUGACCAGAACGGAUCUGACGGUGAGGGACGAAAGCCAGGGGAGCGAACCGGAUUAGAUACCCCAGUAGUC